rnacentral:rRNA from 1 species
GAUGACGCUAGCGGCAGGCUUAACACAUGCAAGUCGAGGGGUAACAGGAGUGCUUGCACUCGCUGACGACCGGCGCACGGGUGCGUAACGCGUAUAGAACCUACCUUUUACUGAGGGAUAGCCUUUAGAAAUGAAGAUUAAUACCUCAUAGUAUUGCGAUUUGGCAUCAGAUUGUAAUUAAAGAUUUAUUGGUAAAAGAUGGCUAUGCGUCUUAUUAGCUAGAUGGUAAGGUAACGGCUUACCAUGGCAACGAUAAGUAGGGGCCCUGAGAGGGGGAUCCCCCACACUGGUACUGAGACACGGACCAGACUCCUACGGGAGGCAGCAGUGAGGAAUAUUGGGCAAUGGAGGCAACUCUGACCCAGCCAUGCCGCGUGCAGGAAGACUGCCCUAUGGGUUGUAAACUGCUUUUAUACAGGAAGAAACACACCUACGUGUAGGUGCUUGACGGUACUGUAAGAAUAAGCACCGGCUAACUCCGUGCCAGCAGCCGCGGUAAUACGGAGGGUGCAAGCGUUAUCCGGAAUCAUUGGGUUUAAAGGGUCCGCAGGCGGUCAAUUAAGUCAGAGGUGAAAUCCCAUAGCUUAACUAUGGAACUGCCUUUGAUACUGGUUGACUUGAGUUAUACGGAAGUAGAUAGAAUAAGUAGUGUAGCGGUGAAAUGCAUAGAUAUUACUUAGAAUACCGAUUGCGAAGGCAGUCUA